rnacentral:misc_RNA from 1 species
CUAAGGAAUAUUACGGAGACUACACACGUUUGUCGAUACUUUGUUCAGUUUUGAGAGGUCUACUCUCAAAAUUUUGUUCAUUGAAAACUGGAUAUUGAAGUAAAAAUGUAAGUAAUACAAACCGAGAACACCGCGUUGAAUGAGUUUUUUAAUAAGUUCAAUUGCUUAUUUUUCUUGAUUGGACUUCUAUCGCUAGAAGAAAGAUCAAAACCCAACCGUAAGGUUGAUAA